UACAGAGGUCUCAAGCGUUGUUCGGAUUCAUUGGGCGUAAAGGGUGCGUAGGUGGCGCCGUAAGUCGGGGUGUGAAAUUUCGGAGCUUAACUCCGAAACUGCAUUCGAUACUGCGGUGCUUGAGGACUGGAGAGGAGACUGGAAUUCAUGGUGUAGCAGUGAAAUGCGUAGAGAUCAUGAGGAAGACCAGUGGCGAAGGCGGGUCUCUGGACAGUUCCUGACGCUGAGGCACGAAGGUCAGGGGAGCAAACAGG
rnacentral:rRNA from 1 species